rnacentral:rRNA from 1 species
AUACAGGGGGUGCGAGCGUUAAUCGGAAUUACUGGGCGUAAAGCGUACGUAGGCGGUUGGUUAAGUUAGAUGUGAAAGCCCCGGGCUUAACCUGGGAACUGCAUUUAAAACUGGUGAACUAGAGUUGAGUAGAGGGGAGUGGAAUUUCAGGUGUAGCGGUGAAAUGCGUAGAGAUCUGAAGGAACACCAGUGGCGAAGGCGACUCCCUGGACUCGAACUGACGCUGAGGUACGAAAGCGUGGGUAGCAAACGGGAUUAGAAACCCCUGUAGUCC